rnacentral:rRNA from 1 species
AAACCAACAGGGAUUGCCUCAGUAGCGGCGAGUGAAGCGGCAAGAGCUCAGAUUUGAAAUCUCACCUAGUGUGCGAGUUGUAAAUUGCAGGUUGGAGUCUCGGGUUAGACGUGUGUGCAAGUCCCUUGGAACAGGGUGCCACUGAGGGUGAGAGCCCCGUAGCGUGCAUGUCGACACCUGUGAGGCCCUUCUGACGAGUCGAGUUGUUUGGGAAUGCAGCUCUAAGUGGGUGGUAAAUUCCAUCUAAGGCUAAAUAUUGGCGAGAGACCGAUAGCGAACAAGUACUGUGAAGGAAAGAUGAAAAGCACUUUGAAAAGAGAGUGAAACAGCACGUGAAAUUGUUGAAAGGGAAGGGUAUUGGGCUCGACAUGGGAUUUACGCAUCGUUGCCUCUCGUGGGCGGCGCUCUGGGUUUUUCCUGGGCCAGCAUCGGUUUUCGUUGCAGGAUAAGGACAAUUGGAAUGUGGCUCCUCGGAGUGUUAUAGCCUUUUGUAGAUGCUGCGUAAUGGGGACCGAAGGGCUGCGGCGGACUCGUUUCGUCUCGGAUGCUGGCACAACGGCGCAAUACCGC